rnacentral:tRNA from 1 species
UCCCUGGUGGUCCAGUGGUUAAGAAUCCAUGCUUCCAAAGCACGGGGUCUGGGUUCAGUCCCUGGUCAGGGAA